rnacentral:sRNA from 1 species
GAUGGAGAGUUAUCUCAUUGGCACUCAUACCACAUCUUCUUAUAUAGAUAAAGGAAGAUGUAGUGUGAGUGCCAAUGAGACAACUCUCCAUC